UUGUGUUCUUUCCUCACUGGCUCACCCAAUCAACUCAACAUGUUGUGGCCUCCCAUUCUCAGCCUUCUGGUGUUGUGGUGCACAGGUUCCGCCUCUCAGCCUGUGCUGACUCAACCAUCAUCGUUAUCGGUGUCACCUGGGAACACAGCAAAACUGUCCUGUGUCAUGAACAGCGAGUUCAACAUUGGAAGCUAUUAUAUAGCCUGGUACCAGCAGAAGCCCGGAAAUCCCCCAAGAUACCUUUUAUAUUAUUAUUCAGAUUCCAGCAAGCACCAAGGCUCCGGAGUCCCUUCUCGUUUCUCUGGUUCCAAAGACACAUCUGGAAACACCUGCUUUUUAACUAUCACAGCAGCCCUGGCAGAAGACGAGGCUGAUUAUUACUGUGGUACUUAUCAUAGCAGUGGUGGCUAUCAGUAA